rnacentral:tRNA from 1 species
GGUCGUGUGGCCGAGUGGCUAGGCAGAGGUCUGCAAAACCUCCUACGGUGGUUCGAAUCCACUCGCGACCU